ACGACCUUACUUGAACAGGAUCUGUUCUAUAGGCUCGUACCUCUGUAUCCUUGAUUACUAAGGAGACAGGAAUCACAGUCUGGUGGAUGAAUUAUGACCGUGUGAUCAGAGCGUGAUUAAUGGUUGCACGAUCAGCCUAGAUCGUUGCGGCUGCGGAGGAUCGUUCUCGAUCAGGUUCGAUCUGAUCGGGAUGGUCACGCGGUUGUCUGACAGACC